rnacentral:rRNA from 1 species
AUAGCGUAUAUUAAAGUUGCUGCGGUUAAAAAGCUCGUAGUUGGAUCCGGGCCGUUCGACGCGUGGUGCGCCUUACGGCGUCUACUACGUGUUCGUCGCCACUAUCCGGCCAUGUCUUGCAUGUUCUUCACUGAGCGUGCUUGGCGACCGGGACGUUUACUUUGGAAAAAUUAGAGUGCUUAAAGCAGGCAUAUGGCCUUGCAUAAUGGUGCAUGGAAUAAUGGAAUAGGACCUCGGUUCUAUUUUGUUGGUUUUCGGAACUCGAGGUAAUGAUUAAGAGGAACAGACGGGGGCAUUCGUAUUGCGGCGUUAGAGGUGAAAUUCUUGGACCGCCGGAAGACGGACGACUG